GGACGAACGCUGGCGGCGUGCUUAACACAUGCAAGUCGAACGGAAAGGCCCUGCUUUUGUGGGGUGCUCGAGUGGCGAACGGGGGAGUAACACGUGAGUAACCUGCCCUUGACUUUGGGAUAACUUCAGGAAAUUGGGGCUAAUACCGGAUAGGAGCUCCUGCUGCAUGGUGGGGGUUGGAAAGUUUCGGCGGUUGGGGAUGGACUCGCGGCUUAUCAGCUUGUUGGUGGGGUAGUGGCUUACCAAGGCUUUGACGGGUAGCCGGCCUGAGAGGGUGACCGGCCACAGUGGGACUGAGAUACGGCCCAGACUCCUACGGGAGGCAGCAGUGGGGAAUAUUGCACAAUGGGCGGCAGCCUGAUGCAGCAACGCCGCGUGCGGGAUGACGGCCUUCGGGUUGUAAACCGCUUUCGCCUGUGACGAAGCGUGAGUGACGGUAAUGGGUAAAGAAGCACCGGCUAACUACGUG
rnacentral:rRNA from 1 species